GAUGAAACAUUCCCUCGGCAGUUAACUGCAGCCGGAUUUCAAAUUUCUCGGCAGUUAACUGCCGAGGGGAUA
rnacentral:pre_miRNA from 1 species